GAGAAGGCUCAGUCUCUCCCUUCAAAGAGAAAUGAAUGCAGACAAUUUCAAAUUUGAAGCUGAUGAGACUUUAACCUGCCAAAAAAUCAGAGUCUUGGACUCAGAAGGUCUUUCAACAGAGUCAUGAAAUCAGUCAUUCUUCAUGUGUGUGUAGUGUGAGCUCUCCUUAAGUGCCACAAAACACAUCCUUGCCCAUAUUGGUCCCCAAGAACCCCAGCGUGGAUGACAGUGCAUCACACAGAUGAAACUGUCUGUUUCUGGAUGCUGGCAGUCAUUCAGAAACAUUUGCUGAGCACCUCGUACCUGCUGAAUGAACCCACGUGAAGGGGAGCCAGGAGUGCGGAUCAUUAAAAAGCCUGUACUUUCUCAGUCCCCAUUUGACACCACAGAGAGAAAAUGCAUGCUCCUGAUUUGGGUAGAUCUAGAAUGUUCUUAUGAAUAUGGUAGGUGGAGCAAGGGAUCCAGGUUCUUAUGAUACAUGAUAAGAAAGGCCCUAGCUUGGUCAGACACAAAUAAAAGCCAAGCUUUUCAUCUAAACUCCCUUGCACCAUCACCCCCUUACCAACCAGUACAGAGAGCUUAACAUCUCUAUACCAGAUAGUGAAUGUUUCUAAUAAGAAUGGCAAAUUCUUAUUGUGAGAGAGAUAAGGGCAUUCAAGUGUUAAUUCAAGAGAAAUAUGUAUAUGGUUCUUUAAAUGAUUUAUUUACUAACAGCAUUAAGUAUGGUGUAAAGGAAUUUACAUACCCUAAUUCUCGUCUAUAUAUUUUUUUGGAUUUUAAAAUGACAACUUGUCUAAGUUCGCAUUAGUAUUAAGCCCUAACAUGAGACAGUAUUUAUAGCAUAAGAUUUUUGCCACCUAUUUUUAAUUGUAGCGCUGUUUUAUCAAUAAGAUCAAUUAAAGAGUUGAACAUUUGAAAAGAAGAAACAUGAAAAUGAAUUUCUAACUGUACGGUAUUGAAUACAUGAAAGUUCUCUUAAACUUAGUCCAGAGUCUCAAUAAACAUGGUAAGUAUGUAAUAAUUCACAUUUACAACCGCCAUAAAAACUCUAUCAACCAAAUUAUUUUAUGACGUCAAAAUUAUCUGAAAAAAAUUGAGGAACUAAAAUUUUUAAAAAUAGGUUCUCAGUUAGAGCUGUCUAUUAAAAGGAUAAAUUUUAAACUCUCCGGAGCUGGCCUUCCUGGUUCCAGGAGCAGCCUGUUGGCCUUCUCUCGCAAAGCUCAGUUCCUUUCCUCCAUUCCAGAAGACCCUCAAGCCUGUCCCAUGCACCUGGUUUUACAUUUUUAAAUGUUAAAAGGAAGACCACCGUGAAAGAUUGGCAUGUUAAUAGUAGGCUAAGGCGACAGGUGCUGGGGCUCCGGCUUAGAGAUCCCCACAGAUUCCAUGCUCCCAGGGCUGGCUGCAGCCAUCUGCCCCCACCCACCCCCACCCGGCCCAGCCCUCCCCUCCUGGAGGUGGAAUCGUGGCUUGCACAAUCCCCUCUGGGCCCCUGGGGGAGGCGCACCAUAUUGAUUUUUUGGACUUCGUUUCUGUGUGUCUCACCAGUCUUUGCCCGGCACAGUGACUCACUGGCGUCCCUUUCAGGACUUUCUCCCGCCUGAUAACAUCUAAAUGACUCAUGCCUACACCACCUGGAGAGCUCAGGGAAGGCACGGUUUGUUCAGGCCACCCUCACUCCAAGGGCCAGCCCUUUUUUGGAAUAGAAACUAAAAGUUGGUAGCUUCCAUUUGUAGUUCCAUCUAACAGAAGAGCCGACCCACUCACAUUAGCUGGCUCACGACUAAGGCAACCAAUGCCUCCCAGAACAUAGACUCAACUGGCAACCCCGGCACUGAAGGUCAAGGUGAGUCAAAGACACUCAUGCAGAAGGGUGGAUGCUCUUCCAAGUGUGACUGGCUGGCCUGCACGGCUCACUGCCUCCCCUCCUCCCGUCAAGAUGCAGCUUCAGUUUAAACCACCUUCGUUCCAUUCAUCAAAGAGGAAUAUUUACUGUUAUUGUAAUGACUCUUCUCACAGUACACAAGGCUACACCUGAAACACACAGGCCUUUCAGAAAGCACAAAGGAGCAUUGUGCAAGCCCCUGCCCAGUGAGAUGGAUGGGGGCGUAGACACGCCAGUUAACAGCCGGGCUUUGCAGGCCAGCAAGACUUAUCUGUGGCCGCACCAUGGCCACUGAGCUUGUACCUUUCUUCUUUUAAAAAUUGCUCCUUCAUUAUAAGCAGAGUUAAAUACCUGCACAUGUGAUUUGUGUUGAAAUAAUAAAGCAACAAACACACAUCAAGCUGAGGAGAGAAUCUUGGCUAAGGUAGGAAGUCGUGGGUCUGGUCUCAGUCUGUGCUGCUGACCAACUGUAAGAACUCAGAACUCACUGUCCACUCAGGACCACAGUGUCUCAUCUGAAAGGACGAGGAGACUGGAACACACCAGAGCCAUGGUUCUCAAUGUGUGGUCCAGAGGCCCUCGGGGGUCCCUGAGCCUCUUUCUGGGGAUCUGUGAGGUCAAAACUACUUUCACAAGUAUGGUUUGCCUUUUUCACUCUCACUCUCUCAUGCUUGAACAAUGGAAUCUUCUAAAGGCUUCCUGACACGUGAUGCUACAAUGGAUGGAAUCCAGAGGUGGAUAGGAGAAGCCAGCUGCCUUCUAUUAAACCAGAAAUGAAGAACAUUUGCAGAAAUGUACAACAAUGCCAUGCUUCCCAUUAAUUAUUUUGUUCUUGCUUUAGAAUAUGUCACUUUUCAUUGAAAAAUGUUACUCAUGAUUUUAUGUAAAAGGUUUAUUGUUGUUACUUUUAAAUACAUAUUUUAAGUGUUUUUUAGUUUUGAUUUCUAAUAUGGCAAAAAUUGGUAAAAUCACAUACACAAGGGCUUUUGGGGAUCCUCAAAACUUUUUAAGAGUGUAAAGGGAUCCAGAGACCAAAAGUUUGAUAACCACUAACCAAAAACUUUGACAACCAUCAUCUUGAAGGGUCCUUGGACUUUCUGGAAUUUGGAUCUCCCUUGCCUUGUUCAGUUUUCUCUCUUUUUAGCCAUCUCGUACUUACUGCCAUUUCAGUUCCUAUGUACCUGACUUAUUAAUUAUGCUUAUUGUUUACCAUGUGUGUUCCCCUCCCAUAUAAACUCCAUGAGGACUGAGAUAUUUGUCCAUGAUGUUCAUCAGUGCAUCCCAGGCUGCCUAGAACUGGGCCUGGCCCUUAGCAGGCACUUGUUUUUGGAUGGGAGGGAGGAGAAGGGAGGGGAGAGGGCAAGUUCUUUCAGUGUCUGUAUAAUGGACAGAGCAAGGUGUACCACCUCGGUGUGAUAGAAGAGAUGGAGACAGGAGAAAGGAAGCUCUGCACAGGAUCACGUGGUAGGUGGCAAAGUCAGGGCUCCAUCACAGCUUCUGUUGUCACAUGACUCUGUUAUCUGACCCUUUAAGGCAGCCCCUUCUGCUCCAACAGAGCUUCAGGGUAACUGAGUGCCCCGCAAUUGGUGUUAGC
rnacentral:lncRNA from 1 species